UGUCUGGAACCUUGGUGAGAGCCGAGGUGCCUUCGGAGCCAGAACACAGGUGGUGCAUGGUUGUCGUCAGCUCGUGUCGUGAGAUGUUGGUUAAGUCCCGCAACGAGCGCAACCCUUGUCUUUAGUUGCCAUCAUUAAGUUGGGCACUCUAAAGAGACUGCCGAUGACAAAUCGGAGAAGGUGGGGAUGACGUCAAAUCAUCAUGCCCUUUAUGUCCUGGGCUACACACGUGCUACAAUGGUCGGUACAACGAGAAGCAAGUCAGCGAUGGCAAGCAAAUCUCUAAAAGCCGAUCCCAGUUCGGAUUGCAGGCUGCAACUCGCCUGCAUGAAGUCGGAGUUGCUAGUAAUCGCGGAUCAGAAUGCCGCGGUGAAUGCGUUCCCGGGUCUU
rnacentral:rRNA from 2 species